GCGUGAGUAACCUGCCCUUGACUCUGGGAUAAACCUGGGAAAGUGGGUCUAAUACCGGAUAUGACCUUCCCUCGCAUGGUGGUUGGUGGAAAGCUUUUGUGGUUUUGGAUGGACUCCCGACCUAUCCUCUUGUUGUUGGGGUAAUGGCCUACCAACGCGACGACGAGUCCCCGGUCUGAUAAGGUGACCGGCCACCCUGGGACUGAAACGCGGCCCACACUCCUACUGGAGGCAGCAGUGGGGAAUAUUGCAGAAUGGGGGCAAGCCUGAUGAAGCGACGCCGCAUGAGGGAUGACGGCCUUCUGGUUGUUAUCCUCUUUCAUUAGGGAAGAAGCAAGAGUGAAGGUUCCUGAACAAGACGCUUCGGCUAACUACGUGACAACACCCGCGGUAAUACGUUGGCCGCAAGCGUUAUCCUGAAUUAUUGGGCGUAAAGAGCUCGUAUUCCGGUUGUCACGUCUGCCGUGAACGUCCGGGGCUCUUCUCCGGAUCUGCGGUGGGUACGGCCAGACAACAGUGAUGGAGGGUAGACUGCUAUUCCUGGUGUAACGGUGAAAUACUCACAUAUCUCGAGGAGCACCGAUGACAAAUGCAGAUCUCUGGACGUUAACUGAGGCUGACGAUCGAAUACAUGUGGAGCUCACAUGAUUAGAUACCCUGAUAGUCCAUGCCUAAAACGUUGGGCACUCCGUGUGGCAGACAUUCCACGUUUUCUGCUCC
rnacentral:rRNA from 1 species